AUGUGGUACAAUGGGUCAGUGCAUCUGACUGUUAACCAGAAGGUUGGGGGUUCGAGCCUACCCAGGGGUG